rnacentral:misc_RNA from 1 species
GAAAAUUUCCUGUAACGGCUUGUUUGUAGCUUCAACUACAGUUCAGAUCUUAAUUUUUAGCUUCUUUGAUGGUGGAAACAAUGUGCGAUUUGACUGAUUUGAAGAUUCACUGAUUUUGUUUGUUGAUACAUCCACAUGGGAGCAUUGUUCUAUUAAAUGAGAAAAUGGAGGUUGAAAAGAGAACUUCAAAGGGAGGCUUUCUUCAGCUAUUUGAUUGGAAUAUCAAAUCUCGAAAGAAGCUUUUCUCUAACAAGUCUGAACUACCUGACAACUCUAAACAAGGAAAAGAAAAUGCCAAUGGAUCAGCCAAUUUAAGACUUCAGCAGGCUCACGAUCAUAGUCUUGGUUCCAACUCCAAGCAGAA